CCUACGGGAGGCAGCAGUGGGGAAUAUUGCACAAUGGGGGAAACCCUGAUGCAGCGACGCCGCGUGAGUGCAGACGUAUUUCGGUAUGUAAAGCUCUAUCAGCAGGGAAGAAGCAAGACGGUACCUGACUAAGAAGCCCCGGCUAACUACGUGCCAGCAGCCGCGGUAAUACGUAGGGGGCAAGCGUUAUCCGGAUUUACUGGGUGUAAAGGGAGCGUAGACGGGAUGGCAAGUCUGAAGUGAAAGCCCAGGGCUUAACCCUGGGACUGCUUUGGAAACUGUUAGACUAGAGUGCUGGAGAGGCAAUCGGAAUUCCGGGUGUAGCGGUGAAAUGCGUAGAUAUACGGAGGAACACCAGUGGCGAAGGCGGAUUGCUGGACAGUAACUGACGCUGAGGCGCGAAAGCGUGGGGAGCAAACAGGAUUAGAGACCCCGGUAGUC
rnacentral:rRNA from 1 species